rnacentral:rRNA from 1 species
GACGAACGCUGGCGGCGUGCUUAACACAUGCAAGUCGAACGGAAAGGCCCUUCUUUUGUGGUGUGCUCGAGUGGCGAACGGGUGAGUAACACGUGAGUAACCUUCCCUUGACUUUGGGAUAACUUCAGGAAACUGGGGCUAAUACCGGAUAGGAGCUCCUGCUGCAUGGUGGGGGUUGGAAAGUUUCGGCGGUUGGGGAUGGACUCGCGGCUUAUCAGCUUGUUGGUGGGGUAGUGGCUUACCAAGGCUUUGACGGGUAGCCGGCCUGAGAGGGUGACCGGCCCCAUUGGGACUGAGAGACGCAGCAGACGCCUACGGGAGGCAGCAGUGGGGAAUAUUGCACAAUGGGCGGAAGCCUGAUGCAGCAACGCCGCGUGCGGGAUGCAGGCCUUCGGGUUGUAAACCGCUUUCGCCUGUGACGAAGCGUGAGUGACGGUAAUGGGUAAAGAAGCACCGGCUAACUACGUG